rnacentral:rRNA from 1 species
UGGUUAAAAAGCUCGUAGUUGGAUCUCAACAGCCUUGAAGCGGUUAACUUUGUAGUUUUACUGCUUUAUAGGCUGUGCUUUUGCUGGAGGUUUAGGGGUGCUCUUGAUCGAGUGUCUCUGGAUGCCAGCAGGUUUACUUUGAAAAAAUUAGAGUGCUCAAAGCAGGCUAAAAUGCCUGAAUAUUCGUGCAUGGAAUAAUAGAAUAGGAUGUCGAUCCUAUUUUGUUGGUUUUCGGGACUCGACAUAAUGAUAAAUAGGGACAGUCGGGGGCAUUUGUAUUCAAACGACAGAGGUGAAAUUCUUGGACCGUUUGAAGACAAACUACUGCGAAAGCAUUUGCCAAGAAUGUUUUCAUUAAUCAAGAACGAAAGUUAGAGGUUCGAAGGCGAUUAGAUACCGCCCUAGUUCUAACCAUAAACGAUGCCAGCUAGCGAUCUGCCUGCGUUUUCACUGUAGACUGGGCAGGAAGCUUCCGGGAAACCAAAGCAUUUGGGUUCCAGGGGAAGUAUGGUUGCAAAGCUGAAACUUAAAGGAAUUGACGGAAGGGCACCACCAGGAGUGGAGCCUGUGGCUUAAUUUGACUCA